CUAAUGGAGCUUAAGUUGGAAUGACAGAAGCUCUUAGAAAAAUGCUUUAAAGCUAAUUAAACACAGCUUAUAGCAGCUGGAUGAUGACUCAUCCCUGUAAGCUGAUUGAUAAAUAUGAACACUAACUGCUGGAAUGCAAAUUGAGGACAAAGGCUGUAUUUCAUUGGGAAAGGAUUAUAUUGUCUAAAGUGCAAUUACAUUCUAAUGGCUAUACUUUGAAUCUUAAAGCCUAGUAUUGGUCAAUCUUCGUAGUAAUUUAGCCGCAAAGGUAAUUUACUUUCUCAGUGGCAAACUGUAUAUACCUAACUUCAAUCCAGGUGACUGUAAACUCCAUUCUACACUUGGUGGACUUAUUAUAGUUGGUUUCAACCAUGUAAUGCUGUGUUGAAGGAUUAUAUAAUCUUGUCACUCACCCCACAAACAUUUACUGAGUGUCCGCCUUGUACCAGACAUUAUAUUACUCAAGGAGAAUGUGAAGAUUAAUUUGUCACAGUCGUGCCCUCAAGCAGUCAUGAGCCAGCAGAUGAGAGUGUAGUAGAAAUGUUAGGGAGAUAGGCACAGGGGAUCUUGUGAAGUUGGAGAAGAUGUGUAUAACACUAAAUGAGUUCGGGACCAUCUGAGCCCGAUUCAUUCUUUUCUUUUCAAUAAUAGCAUUAUUGAGAUAUAGUACACAUACUGUACGGUUCACUUGUUUAAAGUGUAUAGGGAUAUGUUCCUAAACAAGGGACUCUCUUAGCCAAAUUCUGGAAGAUAAAUAGGACUUGGCUAGUUGUUUGGCCUGGCAAGGCAGAAACCUGUAGUAUGUUCCAAAAUGUAGAAGUAAAAAAAAAAAAAAAAUCAUGAUACUUUAGAAAAAGCUGAUUUUAGUUCAGGCUGCUUAGGAGAUUUGGAAGGAAGGAAUAGGAUAGAAAUACAAGAUGAGGUUGUGGGUGUAGGUAGCAGCCCUGUCUGUGUUGUUUGAACUUAAAUCUGAGAAUAGUGGGAUCUUUUCAAAGGUUUCAAGUAGGUGAGUGAGUUGAUCAGAUUCAGAAAGUUUGAGAAAGAUCACUCUGACAGCAGAAUAGAGAAUGGAUAAAGGUGAGCCAAGGUAUAGAGGACCGAGCCUGGCAGCCGGCUAGCUGAGCUCUGUCCCCUGCAGUUACAACCAGGCCAGGAACAUUCAGAGUGGGGGGCAGCGUGAGUGGGACUGAUUUGAAGUGAACUGAAGUGGAACCAGCAGAGCUUGAGGAUUAAUUGGAUGUGGCACUUAAGAUGAAAAAGGUUGAUUUUCAAAGUCCUACCUCAUAGAUGAUGACACAGGAAGACCAAGCAAUAAACAGAAAAGAGAGCAAGAAGAAUCAGUUUGGGCUGGGGGAGGUGAUCCUAAAGUAUUUUCAAAUGGAACCUAUCUAGAUAAUAACAAAGGCAUUUAAAUAGGUGGCCUAUGCUUUGGGUAAUUAGCAAAGAAUAGACACAACUAAUAAAAUUCUAAUAAGAAAUAGUGGGUCAGAUUCAAGGAAAUUUUAGGAGAAUUUUGUGAAUACUAUGGAUAGUAGGUUGAAAAAUACUCCCCUCUCUCCCCCACAAGAUCAUCAGACUCUAUUGCCUGAAACCUGUAAAUGCUAUCUCAUUUGAUUAAAGGGUCUUGCAGAUGUGAUUAAAUUGGGAUAUUGUGAUGAGGAAGUUAUCCUGGGUUAUCUGAGGGGUGGCUGAUCCCAGCUGAAAGACCCUAAGAGCAGAAUUGAAGUUUCUCAGAGGCCAGCCCUGAGAUCAUGGUGGCUGAUAUUGGAGCAAGGCGGCCCCAAGUUGAGGAAUGCUGGCAGCUCCAAGUUGGAAGAGACAAGGAAUGGAUUCUCCCCUAGAACCUCUGCGGGGAGUGCAACGCUAUCAAGACCCAGACUUCAAACUUCUGGCCUCCAGAACUGUGAGAGAAUAAAAUAGUGUUGUUUUAAAGAACCAAGGAUGUGGUGAUUUUUUACUGCAGGCACAGGAACCUCUCACACUGGGCUUUUCAUCUAGUAAAUUUUGUUUAGCAAUGGACCCGUGUAAAAAGGCAUGUGAGCACAUACUGAUACCAAGCAAACACUUGGCAGCACCUGUAUUGAUUAAAAACAUUUGGGAUUAAAGCAAAUCAACAAGUUUAAAUGAUGAUUUGGUUAAAAGCAAGGCUCUUCAGCCACCACUAUUUUCUGAUUCAUAAAUUUCGUUAACCUCUCGUGUUUUUAAAAACUUCAUCCACUUCUCGUUUUUCUGCAUUUUUUGCAUCAUUCCAUUUAGUAACUUUUAGCCCAUGUGUCUUCUCUGUACUCCUCAUCAUCUUGCAAAGUCAGAACAGUUUUAAUGUCCGAUACUAAAUGGAUUAUGUAUAUAAACUGUAUAAAAUGUAUACAUACCUAAACAUAGUUUAAAAUGAGAUACUUUAUGAAUAUGUAUGUAUAAGAAAUAAUCUAUGUGGUAAACAUACGGUUUAAUCCUGUUUUGAUUACUUUGCUUAUUUUUUCUCCAGGAUGGUUUUUGAUGUCUGUUAGGUUCUAUUUUUGCUUAUUGGUACUUUAUUUUCUCCCCUGAGCAUGCCAUUGUUUUUGUAAUACAUUAUAAAAAAAAAAUUAAGGGCUGGAUUUUGAGUAUUUUACAGUGUUUCUUUUUUUAAAAAAGAUCUUAAGCUUGUCAGACUACAUUUUGUGCCAAGGAGUAAAGAAAAAUCAGAUUGCUUCAAGAAAUCCUCAGUUGCUGGAAGUAUGUUUUCUGAACUUCUCACCAAUAACUGCUUUUAUCUUGGACAGUUAGGUGGAUGGGGUGACAAGGCAGCAGACCACCAAAAUUCACCAGUAGUUGAAAAACGAAAACUGGAAACACUUGUAUUUGACCAAAUUAUGAUGAUCAGCUACUUUGCCAUAGCCAGUUGUUGCUGGCCAAACUAUCUGCAGCAUCCAUGUUUCCUCUGCUUCUUUAUCUUAGCUAUUCUUGUCCUGGUGCUCAAUACUGAUGACCUGCUGUAUCUAGUGUUACAUUUUUGCUCAGUCUGAGGCAUUUGCUUGCUAGUUCUCUUCUGAUCAACCAGCCCCGAGUGGCUCAGGGUGAAGAUGCAUAGGCAGGGCCUGGAUUCCAUUCCUUGAGUCAAGAUUCCUGGAGCUUCAUGAGGAUGAGAGAAAGGAUGAUACAUUUUCUGGACCUAUGGAGGCACGAGGAGGGGCACGUUGUUGGUAUGUGUUGAGUGAAACAACCUUAACCUGAUGUCUCCUAAGAAUUUCACAUGGCAUUUCUUAGUGUGAAGGCAGCUCACUCACAUAAAACAACUUAGAAUGUUUGAAAAAUUCAGUUGUAUUUAUUAUUUUAAUCCCCUGCUAAUUCCAGGAUUUUGUCUUAAAACCCGAUUGAGAGUAACUCUUAGGAUGUGUUUUGAAAUAGGUUUUAACUAAAGUAAUCAUGUACAUGUCUGAUUUAUCUGCAGGAGUGAUUGAAUUUGUAAGCAAUAUCUGCAACAUUUUCAUUUCCCAAAAUAUGGCUUUUGGCUUUGUAAUGACUAUGAAGCUAUUAUAUUUGUCUUCUUUAAACAUAAAAAUCAAUUGUUGGCCCAUUAUCUGUAUAAGUUAGUUAAUAAAAUCCCACCAAAUUUAACAAA